rnacentral:rRNA from 1 species
AUGGAGCAGGAUCGGGGCACGAGGGACAUUCUUCUUAGUGGGCGGCUCUGCCAAGGUCUCUAUCGUCUGGAGCAUCCUGGCGUCGCUCGCGUCUUCAGUGGAGUUCGGGUAUCUCCGUCACAGUGGCAUGCUCGUCUUGGUCACCCGGCCACACCUAUUGUCCGGCAUGUUUUGCGUCGUCAUGAGCUUCCUAGUGUGUCUAGUAAUAAAGAUGUAGCAGUGUGUGAUGCUUGUCAGCAGGGGAAGAGUCAUCAACUUCCUUUUUCGGAGUCCAGUCGUGAGGUGAAACAUCCUUUAGAACUUGUGUUUUCAGAUGUAUGGGGUCCUGCUUAG